UGACCGGCCGGGCGCUUUUCCAAUCAGAAAGACAGUUAAGAUCUCUAACAGAACCUGGAGUUGUUUGAAGACGAGGUAACAACAAGACCUGGACGCUGGUGAAACCAAGCCUGUAUGAAAGGGACUGUGUGAGAAAUGACUAUCUCCCAGGUGUUAUAUUGUCGUGUGAUAUCCCAUGGCUUUUAUAACUUUAUGGAUCCAUUCAUGCCACAGUGUGUGAGCACUUCCGGGGCGUGUGUGGUCUACUCGGUAUCAGGAGAGUUGCAAAGCCCUGGAGGAGCAGCUGCAAAAUAGACUUCAAGGGAAUUUUACUACUUCCUUUUUCUCCGAUUGAAAAAAAGAGAGAGAAAAAAGUGAAACAAACCCGGGAAGACGCAAAAUUGCAUCGACUCAAACUGUCAUCAACCAAAUUCUGUUCAGCGGAUUUGAAUCUCCUAUGAGCUUAAGGAUCAACACGAUUCAGUUUUAUCAGGAAAAAUACAUAACAUUUAUCAGAAUUGGUUAUCAGAAAUCGUUUAAUACCCUGAUCAGAAACUCAGGGAUUUACUUAUGAAUGAGUUUAGAAGCUGACUGUUUUAUGUAACCAUCAAAAAUUACAAUAUAAUUAUUGUUUCAAAAUUCUCUGAGAAAUUGUGUUCUUAUUUCUUUUUGUUAUGCUGACAGUAUAAUAUAUCCAGUGAAGUUUUCUUAGACAAUAUUAUGUUUGGUUUCUGUUUCUUGCACGUCAGAACCCUGUUGGCAUUUUAUUUAUUAUAUGUUAAUAGCAAUGUUUCUUGAAAAGGAACCUUUUAAUGGCAUUUCACUCUUCUCUGAGAUUAUAUUUUAAAAGGAAAUAGUAUCUGAAAGAUCUAAAAAAACCCACCAGGGCUUUCUAGGGGAUUUUGUCACUCGUGUUUUCCUUGCUUAUGAUCUCAUUGUCGAGGACUGUAUGAGCUUCUAAGAACCAGUGGAUUGUGGUUUCUAAUAAAUAUAUGCAAACAGAAUUAUUCUCACUUUUAUUCAUAUGCUAAAUAUAUUCAC